AACGUCGUGAGACAGUUCGGUCCCUAUCUGCCGUGGGCGCUGGAGAAUUGAGGGGGGCUGCUCCUAGUACGAGAGGACCGGAGUGGACGCAUCACUGGUGUUCGGGUUGUCAUGCCAAUGGCACUGCCCGGUAGCUAAAUGCGGAAGAGAUAAGUGCUGAAAGCAUCUAAGCACGAAACUUGCCCCGAGAUGAGUUCUCCCUGAGACUAUAAGUCUCCUGAAGGAACGUUGAAGACGACGACGUUGAUAGGCCGGGUGUGUAAGCGCAGCGAUGCGUUGAGCUAACCGGUACUAAUGAACCGUGAGGCUUAACCUUACAACGCCGAAG
rnacentral:rRNA from 1 species